UACAGAGGGGGCAAGCGUUGUUCGGAAUUACUGGGCGUAAAGGGCGCGUAGGCGGCCUGCUAAGUCGAACGUGAAAUCCCCGGGCUCAACCCGGGAACUGCGUCCGAUACUGGUUGGCUUGAAUCCGGGAGAGGGAUGCGGAAUUCCAGGUGUAGCGGUGAAAUGCGUAGAUAUCUGGAGGAACACCGGUGGCGAAGGCGGCAUCCUGGACCGGUAUUGACGCUGAGGCGCGAAAGCUAGGGGAGCAAACGGG
rnacentral:rRNA from 1 species